CCCCUCUCAGGAUCACACCUGGAGAGUUUCCAGUAUUCUACCAGUCUCGGCUAUGGGAGGGAGAGUCAGGCAGAGGCAUAACCUUUUCAUUCCUAGCUUGGGCAGUGGCUGGAGAGUGGAAGGCAAUCUGCUACAAGU
rnacentral:snoRNA from 1 species